UGGUAAAGCACUUGUCUAGCGAAUAAGGGUCGUGAGUUCAAAUCUCACCUGAGCUG
rnacentral:tRNA from 1 species